UCCUUGAAAUAGGUUUGCUGUGUGGAGA
rnacentral:piRNA from 1 species